UUCCUCCCCCGCUUGAAAGACGGGGGCAUCCUGGCCCGCUUUGGUGAUCAAGCUUCCUACCGCGGUAGAAGGGAGAAGCGUCCAGCAGGAGCGUGACUCCUGUUCGAGAGGCAAGGGAACAUCCUGCUGCUGGUUUCUCGCCCGAGGUAUCGAGGGCGAAGCGCAGAACUUCACCCAGUUCGUGAACCUGAUGAGCUAGUGACAGGGAAAGCCUGCUCUAGUUCCCUGCUCUAUUAUCAGUAGUUAAAAGUCCCGGUGGGUCGGGGCGGUGCUGCUGACACAACAAGCCGGUUGAAUGUUGGUGAAGGGCACCGUACUUCUGUGCGGAG
rnacentral:sRNA from 2 species